GCUUACGGCCAUACCACCCUGAAUGCGCCCGAUCUCGUCUGAUCUCGGAAGCUAAGCAGGGUCAGGCCUGGUUAGUACUUGGAUGGGAGACCGCCUGGGAAUACCAGGUGCUGUAAACU
rnacentral:rRNA from 1 species